rnacentral:rRNA from 1 species
GAGAUGACUCUCGGCAACGGAUAUCUCGGCUCUCGCAUCGAUGAAGAACGUAGCGAAAUGCGAUACGUGGUGUGAAUUGCAGAAUCCCGUGAACCAUCGAGUCUUUGAACGCAAGUUGCGCCCGAGGGGCCAACCCGAGGGCACGCCUGCCUCAUGGGCGUUAGAA